GAAUAUUGAAAUUCUCACCUACAAUGUGAUGCUAUCAAAAGGUGAGGUCUUCGGGAGAAGUUUACUUCUUACUGGGUGGAGACACUUGGCAUUUGUAAAUGAGAAUACCAAUUUGAAGGAAGAUAAGAAAAAGAACAAAACCUCCUAGCAUAAACAGAGAUUGCUGGUGAGACAGCAGCCACUGCUCCCAGGCCCGACAACAGGGGCAGCACCAAAGCUGGUCAGUGUUUCCUCCUUACAGGUCUGAAGGUGCUGCAGAGGAGGGUGCUUCCCAGAGAUCACCCCUGUGACAGACAGAUCGAUUGAAGGACCCCUGAAUGGCUGAAUUGAGAAGAACAAGCAUAUUAGGAGGCCAUACAAUGGGAGCCUCUCAGGCAGACAGACAAAGCCGUGGAAACUGCAGACUUAUUUGUAUGUUCUGGUAAACACCUUUGCUUCAUUUUCCCCGUCUCCGCCUGGACUGAGGGUCACCUCACCUCUCCUGGUGUCCAGAGCCUCCUUCAGGACAGAUGUUGCAAACCUGAGUUCUCACAAACAGCGGGGUCCAGCCCUUCUCAACACUGGAAAGCCCUUGAGCCAUCUUUGAUUUGUGUGUUUUGAUCUAAUUGCACUACUGCUUGCAAUGCUUGUUUUUAGCGGUGAGUGCUGGUUUAAUUUG